UGAGGAAUAUUGGUCAAUGGACGCAAGUCUGAACCAGCCAAGUAGCGUGCAGGAUGACGGCCCUAUGGGUUGUAAACUGCUUUUAUAUGGGGGUAAAGUGGGGAACGUGUUUCCUUUUGCAGGUACCAUAUGAAUAAGGACCGGCUAAUUCCGUGCCAGCAGCCGCGGUAAUACGGAAGGUUCGGGCGUUAUCCGGAUUUAUUGGGUUUAAAGGGAGCGUAGGCCGUUUGGUAAGCGUGUUGUGAAAUGUAGGAGCUCAACUUCUAGAUUGCAGCGCGAACUGUCAGAAUUGAGUGCGCACAACGUAGGCGGAAUUCAUGGCGUAGCGGUGAAAUGCUUAGAUAUCAUGAAGAACUCCGAUUGCGAAGGCAGCUUACGGGAGCGAAACUGACGCUGAAGCUCGAAGGUGCGGGUAUCGAACAGG
rnacentral:rRNA from 1 species